rnacentral:rRNA from 1 species
CCACUUUUGGGAGCCAUGAAGGCGNCCCAGAAUAAGGAACUACUAACUACGUGCCAGCAGUCGCGGUAAUACGUAGGUUCCAAGCGUUACCCGGUUUUAUUGGGCGUAAAGCGUCUGUAGGUGGUUUUUCAAGUCUUAUUUCAAAGACCCCAGCUUAACUGGGGACAGGGGUAGGAGACUGAAAGGCUAGAGUCAUAUCGGGGUUACUGGAAUUGUAGUGUAGGGGUAAAAUCCGUGGAUACUACAAAGAACACCAAGCGCGAAGGCGGGUAACCAGGUACGUACUGACACUGAGAGACGAAAGCUAGGGGAGCAAAUCAGAUUAGAGACCUGAGUAGUCCUAGCCGUAAACAUUGUCUGUUAAUUCUUCCGGUAUUUAUAUCGGGGGGAUGCAAGCUAACGCGUUAAACAGACCGCCUGGGGAGUAUAGCCGCAAGGCCGAAACUCAAACGAAUUGGCGGGGAGGCGCACAACCAGUGGAGCAUGUGGUUCAAUUCGAAACGAAGCGAUGAACCUUACCUGGGUUUGAAAUGUAUCUGCAAGCCUUCAGAAACGGAGGCCGCCUUAGAGGGUGAUACACAGCUGUUGCAUGGCUGUCGUCAGCUCGUGACGUGAGUUGUUCUCUUAAGUGAGGUAACGAGCGCAACCCCUAUCGUAUGUUACUGUGUCAUACGAGACUGCCUAGCAUUAUUUUGUUAGGAGGAAGGAGGGGACGACGUCAAGUCAUCAUGAUGCUUAUAUCCAGGGCUACACACAUCCUACAAUGGAUUGUACAGAGGGUUGCAAGACCGCAAGGUGGAGCUAAUCCCUAAAACAAUCCUCAGUUGGGAUUGCAGGCUGAAACUCGCCUGCAUGAACCCGGAAUUGGUAGUAAUCGCAAAUCAGCAGAUUGCGGUGAAUACGUUCUCGCCUCUUGCACACACUGCCCGUCAAAUCAGCAAAGUUGGAGGGUACCUAACUCUUACAUUAGUAGGAGCA